AACGAACGCUGGCGGCAUGCCUAACACAUGCAAGUCGAACGAGACCUUCGGGUCUAGUGGCGCACGGGUGCGUAACGCGUGGGAACCUGCCCUUAGGUUCGGAAUAACUCCCCGAAAGGGGUGCUAAUACCGGAUAAUGCCUUCGGACCAAAGAUUUAUCGCCUUUGGAUGGGCCCGCGUUGGAUUAGCUAGUUGGUAGGGUAAAAGCCUACCAAGGCGACGAUCCAUAGCUGGUCUGAGAGGAUGAUCAGCCACACUGGGACUGAGACACGGCCCAGACUCCUACGGGAGGCAGCAGUGGGGAAUAUUGGACAAUGGGCGAAAGCCUGAUCCGGCAAUGCCGCGUGAGUGAUGAAGGCCUUAGGGUUGUAAAGCUCUUUUACCCGGGAUGAUAAUGACAGUACCGGGAGAAUAAGCUCCGGCUAACUCCGUG
rnacentral:rRNA from 1 species